CAACAACAGACUCGGUGAAAUUGUAAUUCCGGUGAAGAUGCCGGAUACCUGCGACAGGACGGAAAGACCCCAUGGAGCUUUACUGUAGCUUGACAUUGGGUCUUGGUACUACAUGUACAGGAUAGGUGGGAGGCUUUGAAACCAGGACGCCAGUUUUGGCGGAGCCAUCCUUGGGAUACCACCCUUGUAGUACUGGGACUCUAACCAUAGGCCAUGAAUCUGGUCUUGGGACACUGUCAGGUGGGCAGUUUGACUGGGGCGGUCGCCUCCCAAAAGGUAACGGAGGCGCUCAAAGGUUCUCUCAGUACGGUCGGAAAUCGUACGUAGAGUGUAAAGGCAAAAGAGAGCUUGAUUGCAAGACAUACAGGUCGAGCAAGGAUGAAAAUCGGACUUAGUGAUCCGGUGGUUCUGCGUGGAAGGGCCAUCGCUCAACGGAUAAAAGCUACCCUGGGGAUAACAGGCUUAUCUCCCCCAAGAGUCCACAUCGACGGGGAGGUUUGGCACCUCGAUGUCGGCUCAUCACAUCCUGGGGCUGUAGUAGGUCCCAAGGGUUGGGCUGUUCGCCCAUUAAAGUGGUACGCGAGCUGGGUUCAGAACGUCGUGAGACAGUUCGGUCCCUAUCCGUCGCAGGCGUAGGAAAUUUGAGAAGACCUGUCCUUAGUACGAGAGGACCGGGAUGGACGUACCUCUGGUGUACCAGUUGU
rnacentral:rRNA from 1 species